ACUCCUACGGGAGGCAGCAGUGGGGAAUAUUGGACAAUGGGCGCAAGCCUGAUCCAGCCAUGCCGCGUGAGUGAUGAAGGCCCUAGGGUUGUAAAGCUCUUUCACCGGAGAAGAUAAUGACGGUAUCCGGAGAAGAAGCCCCGGCUAACUUCGUGCCAGCAGCCGCGGUAAUACGAAGGGGGCUAGCGUUGUUCGGAAUUACUGGGCGUAAAGCGCACGUAGGCGGAUCGAUCAGUCAGGGGUGAAAUCCCAGGGCUCAACCCUGGAACUGCCUUUGAUACUGUCGAUCUGGAGUAUGGAAGAGGUGAGUGGAAUUCCGAGUGUAGAGGUGAAAUUCGUAGAUAUUCGGAGGAACACCAGUGGCGAAGGCGGCUCACUGGUCCAUUACUGACGCUGAGGUGCGAAAGCGUGGGGAGCAAACAGGAUUAGAAACCCCUGUAGUCCCAU
rnacentral:rRNA from 1 species